CAUCUAAUGUCCGAGUUGGUUUAGGUACUUGUCUGCAAAACGAGUUACGUGAGUUCGAGUCUCACUUAGAUGU
rnacentral:tRNA from 1 species